ACUUCCAAGCGGCAAGCUUUCACGAGCGUCUUCGCGUCGGAGACGAAGACUGCUGGUUUCGUCGCCACUCCUGGUUUCUUGUCUUCGGUAAUCCAAGUAAAACUCUUUUUUUUAUCAAUUUUACAUUAUACUUUAUGUAUUUCCAUUUGUAAUUAAACAGAAUAAUCAACUGGAUGUUAGUAGUCCUUGUAAUUUGGGGUUUAUUGAUUAUUGAUUGGGAAAUUUUGGCAUUCUCGCGGGUACUUUGAUUAUGUAUUGUCCUAUAUAUGAGAAGUUUUGAUAAUCAUACAUGGGCUGAAUGAACUACUUUCACGAGGUAACUUUGAGGUUUAUGCAAUGGAGUGGAUAUGAUUUCAAGACAUUGUUUGCUGUUAAGAACUAUAGGUGUUUCGAUUUAUAGUUCAUAAUCAGAAUCACUGUUCUGCCAUGUUAAGAACUAAAAAUGGGAAUAUAUGUAUGUUUCCCAUGGGGAUAUGUGUAUGUUUCCCACUGAAAAUUAUAGGAGAUGAGACCUUUAUUGAAACGAGAAGCACCCUUUAAGAACUUGUUAAAAUGGGAAAUGCAAUUUUUGAUCUUACAAGACUAAUAUUCAUGCAUUUGUUGCUACCUUGACUUUCAGGUUUGUAAUCUUGCAUGGAGUAAGCAUGUGAAUGAGAUAGUUAGCACUUAUGGAUGUUCCGAAAAUCAAAUGGUCUGGAAGUAUCCAUCCAUGUCAAAGGUUCAGCUAGGAUGAACUCAAGUCUGAUGAGACUCACUAGCAUCAUGUAAAGUUACAGAGGUUUUCGGUCAUUAAGAUAAAUACAGAUUCGAGGAGACUAUAGUGUGCAAUUUUUUUUCUUUUCGCUUUUGGAUGUUUCAAUAUUUGUAGUGUGUAAUGUGUAUCACAGAACCAUGAAGAGAUUUGAAUAUACAUCUUUUACAUUUACCUGUUGCGCUUCAAACUUUUUUUUAUAAGUUUCACCAGUUCAUUUGUGUUUUUUGAAAGCACGGGAAAUAUGUGCCUUCUCUUGAAUGUACCUGAUUCUAUUCUAAAAAUGCACAGUUCAGUAAAUAUGAACUAGAUGAACUAUAGCUCAAAUCUUUAUGUCUAUGAGGUAGCUUUGAUAUUAAAAAGUCAAAACCAUGAUACAAACCAUGCAUUGAAAUAGUAGGCAAGCUUAAUAAACAAACAAACCAUGAUCAGUUUGCAGGUCCUUUUUUUCUGAAAUUUUUUGCUGAGUUUACAUUCUUCAUAGGUAAACGAUAAGAAAAGAUACAAAUUGCCGUGAAAUAGGCUUCAAAAUUUCUGUUCAUUACACUUAGAGUAUAUCUGGACAUAAUAUAUAUCGAGUCUUAUGGUAAAUAAUAUGGCAUAUCUCUUGAACCCUGCUGCUGCUUAGUCAUUGAAUGUAAAUCCUACAUUGUAUAUUAGUCAGAGAUAAAUUAACUUAAAAAAUGAAACGUGAUAGAAAAAGGUUAAACAAAUUAUCCAAACCUGGCUUGGUUGAGGAUAUGAUCCAAAUUGGUGGUUUGGGGCAGAUGUGCUUGCAGAUGUAUGCUGUGAUCAUAAUAUAUGAUUGGAACUUUUAAAUUUAGAAAACUCUAAAAGAAGAAGCAAUUAUAAUUGAAAAUAUCAGAUCAAUCAAUACCUGACUCAAAAGCAUGCUAGUAAAAAAAGAAUUUGGUUGAUAGAAUGCUGUAGAAUCAGAUCCUUGCAAUAAAUAAGAAUCAUUCAGUGUGUUAAAUGAAGUUGAAUCAUAUGGUAUUUGAAUCUAGCUCAUUAUCUGAUUUGAUGGAGGCAAAAAUCCUUGAGUAUUGAUUGCUGACGAGUUCAUAGUUGGAUAAAACUACAUAAUAUUGAUUGAAAAAUUAGUUUUAGGAUACUAACAUGAAAUAAAAAAAGAAGUGAUUUGAGCAGACUUAUAACAACAAACCUAAGUACUCAUCAGCCGAGGAAAUGGGUUUGAAGAAUUUGGAUUAUAUUGUGCAUGAUAUGCGGAAUAUGAUUUCAAAACCUACAAAAAUACGGUAAUAAAUAAAUUAUUUUCAUGAACUACUAAGAUUAAAUGUUACUAGUAACUCAUCCCAUUUAGACUGAAAUUCUUCCACUGUCUCACAAGCAUAAAGACACUUAUUGAACAUCUUCUUAAAGUUAGGGAUUCCUAAGUAGCUUGCUAUAUUUCUUGUUGCAUUCAGCGAUAUAUGCCACUAGCAUAAACGGUGACAAGUAUCAGGAAAAACAUCUCUAAUGCCAUUUGCCAUUGCCUGACAUUGAUCAGUAUAAAUGGUCCUUGGUGGUUGAUUUCCCAUUGACUCUAAAAAUGUUUCAAACAACCUUUCAAAUGAAGAGUUGUCUCAUCCAACAGAGAAGCACAUCCAAACAAAACAUUUUUCCAAUGAUUACUAAAACCUCACAAAAGACACUCUAACUUCCAAGGUACUUGUAGGAAAUCAAAAUCAAGUCUUCAUUAGCAUGAGAAGCUAAUAUGUCACAUCCCGGUUCUUAAGUCAAUUUGCGGUUAUUUACUUUUGGGUUACUUUGGCUUUUACCGUUUUGAGUAACCGUUUACUAUUUAAGGCUCCAAAAGUUGACUUUUUCUUUCAUCUAAAAUUUGGAAAGACUUUCUUCAUGAAAGUCGUAGAGGACGUUAAGCGGAGUUCGUAGACGCGUGGCACGCUUAAAUAGGAGUUCGUAUGAAUAAGUUAUGGUAUAAAAACAAAAGUUACUAUUUUGGUUGGGGGUAUAAAAAUGGAAACUUACCGGAUGGGUAAGGUAAGAAAUCAGUUUCACCCCCCUCACUCUCUCUUCUCUCUCUCGCGCCUCUCCUCCGACCGGCAACUUCAUCACCUCCAUCCGCCGCCGUCCGGCCGAGCUAGGUGGCGUGCUUGGUAUCGAUUUGAAGCUUGGAGCAUCCUCUACAAGUCUAGGUAGGUGGCAGCCGGUAUCGCGCCGCCGUGAAGGAGAAAUCAUGCCGGAAAGCCGCGACUGUGCGUGGUGGGGUUUUUGCCGGAAAAUCUCUUUUCCAGCCACCAUAGCCAGAGUUGUUGGUCUCAACUUGAAGCUCUCCCUCCCAGUAGCAAAACCCUAAAAGGAUUCAUCCUAACUUGAGCUAGGUAAGGAGAAUCGAAGGUUUGAAUCUUCUAGGGUUCUUGAUUGUGUUUUUGUUCGAUUGACAUGUUUAAACUUGAAAUUGGACUUAGUGAUAGUUAUGAAAGUUGUUUGGGAUGUUGAGAGGAAGAUGUUGUUAAAAUUUGGUAGCCAUCGGGGGUCACCGGAGUUGGCCGCCGGCCGCCGCUGCCGGUGGAGCAGACUGCGGCGCCGCCGCUGUAAGUGGGCUUUUCAGGGUUUUAAAUGUGUUAUGUUAAGGGGAGUUUAAUGAUGUGAAGUUUGGAAUUUUUGGUGGAGUUUUGAUAAGGUUUGGGAUUUUUAAAAGAUUAAGGAUUUUGCCCGUUAUUGAAUAAAAAUCCGGCCGUUGGAUUUCCUUGGUAUUUUUUUGUAGAAUGUUAAAAUUGAUGAAUUAAGGUUGUGGUGGAGUUUGGUGCGAAUCCGGCGAGUUUAACCCUAUUAAGAGUAGUGGGUUAAACGGAAGAGAGUUGGAUGUUUUUAUUCAUGUAUUUAUUUUCUGGAAUUGAAGUUUGAUUCUAAGCAUGGUUGUUGUGCUAGGAUGCGAAGGGAACCUCGCUUGAGUGGCUAUGCGGUUAUCGUCGGGCUUAUGCCUAAAGUUGUGAGUGAACAUUUUGGUUUAAUUAAAUAUGCAUGCAAGAUUUUAUAAAUUAUCAUUUUAUUUUUCCGAGCAUAUAUUAUAAUUUUCGGCUCAUGAGAUGAUCUUUAAAAUUAUUUGAGUGUGAUGCAUUGAUUAACGUUUGGUCAUGAUUUAUGGAUUUAAGCUCGGAUUAUUAAUUUGAUAUCUGAGUUUGGUUAUUUUAUAAGUUUCGGAUUUCAUUGUGAUUGAUUUAAUGGUGACUUUGGGAUUAAUAAAUGAUUACCGAAAAUGGGAUUUUCGGUAGUUCUCCAUCAUAAUUUAAUUGUUUAUUUGAGGCAUAAUGAUUUUGACUUGGAGAAUAUUUUAGCGAGUAUUUUCGAGUGAAGAUAUUGUUAUUUAUGAUUUAUAUUUGAUAUUGAAAUCUCGCUUAUAAUAUGGUUUUGAAAAUAUUUUGACGUGUGAGACACGUCAUUGAGUUUAGUAUAAUUUCUUAUGAUGAUUUUCAAAUACGGUUAGGAACCGUACCAUUCAUUUGAUAUUGGGGAAGUUUAAUGGAUUUAAGUGACUUCGUAUGAUUUUAAUCACCAUAAUAUAGGGUCGCUUUUAUAUUGAUUAUUGCUAGCUAACCUUAUUAGCGGUCCUCAUCAUAUGUAAGUCGCUAUUAUAGUCUUAUUAGCGGUCCUCUUCAUAUGUGAGUAGAGCGCUCAGCGUGGAAUGCUGUUAUAGCUUGGGAGGCAACCGAUCGGUAUUUAUAUUUAUUAGUUAGCUAGCUUUAUUAGCGGUCCUCAUUAUAUGUGAGUUGAGCACUUAGCGUGGGACGCUAUUAUAGCCUUAUUUAGUGGUCCUCAUCAUAUGUGAGUUGAGCGCUUAGCGUGGGACGCUAUUUUAGCUUGGGAGGCAUCGACCCGAGCCUGGGAGGCUCUUUUUUUCGUGGUGAUGACUCUUCCCCUUAUUUUAGCUUGGGAGGCAUCGACCCGAGCCUGGGAGGCUCUUUUUUUCGUGGUGAUAACUCUUCCCCUUAUUUUAUUCUUCUCAGUAAUAUAAUUGAUUAACCAGCGGGGCCGGUUUAUCUUCUCGUAUGAGAUUUUUGUUUUAAUUAACCAACGGGGCUGGUUUGUCCUUUAUUAAAUGAUUUUGGAUUUAAAGUUUUAAGGACGUUUAAGUUGCAUGCUGUUAAGUUUUAAAAGUUGAAAAGUGGGAAAGUAUAUAAGUUUUAUAAUUGUUAAGUUAUUGAAUUUAUUUUUCGUCCACUCACUCUAACGUUUUUAAAUUACUUUCCCCUGGGCCCUUUGGUUUAUAAAUGCCCAGUUUGCAGGCUAAGUUAAUUGAGGUCGAGCGUACAUGGAGUCGAGGCAUAGUCAGAGGCUGCUUCCGCUUAAUCUUUAUUUAUUGUUAUUCUUUCAUUACUAGAUAUGCUCUGAUAACCUGUUAGUGAAAAAAUAAUGUCUUUGUUGUUGGUUGUGGAAUUCCUGAAAUUUAGUAUUUAAUAUAUUGGGAGAUGUGUUAAACUUGGGGAGCAGGAAGGCUCCAGGAGUUGAGGAUGGAGGUUUGAUUAUAGAAGUGUUAAGUUUGAUUUUUUUUUUUUCAGGAAAAGGUUGUCCAUUUUUAAGGAAGGUUAUGCCGAAUUUUCGGUAAAUUUUCCUUGAAGGUGGUCCCCGCAAGAUUUACUUCGGAUUUCUGGGUGAAAUUCGAGGUGGGUCCUGACAUAAUAAACCAAACUCAUUUGGACACUAAGGGACAAUAAUUGAGCCUCCAUUGCUAUUUCAGCUUACCAAUCUCACUCAAGUAGCUAGCCUUGACACAAUAAUUCCUAACUCCCACAGUUCUUAACCAUAGUGUUCUGUAUUCAACUUUGUUCUCAACCAUAAUGAGAACAUAAACCCAAUUCGUUUUGGAAUCUCAACCCUAAAGAAUACCAUUUUUAACACACCUUUGAUUCUUUCAAAAACAGCAAGAAUUUCAAUGAAAACAUUUCCUCAAACACUAACAUAUGUAUAUAUCAAACUGAUUCAAUACUAAUAUAUAUUGUAUGUAUAUAUAAAUUUCCUCUAAAUCCCGGAUUACCGAAGAUAAGAAACCAGGAGUGGCGACGAAACCAGCAUUCUUCAUCUCCGACGCGAAGACCCUCGUGAAAGCUUGCCGUCUGGAAGUGUCCUCCUCUCAGGCUGAGUUGCGUUACGCUUCGUGGCCACCGAAUCAGAGAGUGACUCUGAGAGGCGAUGGAGGAAAAGACGAAGAGGAGGAGCUCAAUUUGGUGACAUCGACAUCAGAGAGAAGGAGAGAAGGGGGCGGGGUGGGAGACAUGGGCUGAUUAUGUUUUUAGGUUAGAGGGUGUUUCAGUUCUAAACAAAGAGAAAACGGAGACGUUAAACUAAACUCACGAUCCUGUCAAUUUUUCAGCUGGACACGUGUCGUGUUUUUAGUGGUUGGGGACACCAAAUCAGCUUGCCAGCUGAUAUUCCGACCACAGCAAAUAAUUUCUCCUUCCUUGAAGCAUAUGCUGAAUAUGGUUCCAACAAAAUCAUAAUUUAAAAUUUUGACAGAUUUCUCUGUUUAUCAAAUUAUGUUUUGAUGGAUUUCAAAGUCGUUGUUGGCUUUGCUAUAGAACCGAAAGAAAGAAUAUAUAUGGUCGAAUCAUUAUUGUUCAGUCUCAAGAUGUUAAAUCAUUUUUGCAGGACUAAUCACGUCCUGGAUCUAAUGC
rnacentral:lncRNA from 1 species